AGCCAGGAGAUCAGAAUUAGCCAAGAGAAACCCAGAAUGAUCAAAAUUAAGAAUACAUUUUUAUACAGAUGAUCAUGAGUCAUAUCAAGAUUAACACAUAUAGUUACAAUCCAUUUUGAGAAACAAAUGAAAAAUUAUUUCUGUUAUUUGCAUAUGAGGUUGGAGAUUUAAAAAUUCAGAAAAUAGG